AAUGAGAAAACUGUAAGAGCCAUCAUAUCAUAUAGUAUGAAAAACAAAGACUCACAUGUAGCAUAGUUUAAGAAGUAUUAAUAUUAAUAUGCAUUAUUAAGAGCAUUGUUAUCAGAACCGGAUCGGACCUAUGUCCGGCCCAGUUAGCUUAAAAACUGAAAUAACACAAAUAGACUGGUGAACCUAAAACCGUUUUUAGUUAAAUCCAUCAAACCCAUUUGAACCGGCCGGUUGGACGAGUUCUGAAUUUUUAAAGGAAAUCCGACCCGAAUCAAAAAUCAGUGUAAUUGGAUCUGGAAACCCUAGUUCAGUCUUCACCUUCGACUUCGAGCUCAGCGAUUCAGUCAGUCUUCAUCUUCGAGCUCUUCUUCAUCGGAUUCCUCUUCAUCUUCGAGCUCAGUCACCGGAUUCCUCUUCAUCUUCACUCUUCUCAGUUUAGUCAACGCAAGAUUCCUCUUCUCCUUCGAGUGGCAGAGUCCGGACUAGUUGCCUCGAUCUCUCCCGUUGUUCUUCAAUCAACCGCUACAUACAGUAUACACACGGUAAUAGUUUGGACCCUAUCCAAGAGAAUCCAUUGUUUGAAGCUCCUGAAGCACUAAAUGAUGCUGCAGCUGAAGACAAUAUUUGUAGAAAUUAUGGUAGAGAUUAGAGUGCAUGAAAUUGUUGAUAUAUUGAGUAUUGACUGAUUAGUUAGUCUGCUGUCAAAGAUUUUGUCGUGAUUUUUCUUGGAUGAUUUUAUAUUUUCUGCAAGUUAGAUGGACUUGUUUCUUCAGUUUUCCAAUGAGACAGCUAUAUGUAUUAUGUACUUGCGCAAUGGAUUCUUGGGGGUGGGUUAACAGUUUAAUGGCAUACAUGCUUCAUGGUUGGUUGGUUUGCGGAGCGUGGACACGUUUCUGAAGUCUGAACCUGUUCUCUAGUGCUGCAUUAAAGCUCCAGAAGGGGAAAAAAAAAAAAGACUGAUUCAGAAAGGAGGAAGGAAAAGAAAAGGCUAAAGAAGGAGCAAAAUGAACUCCUGAGGAAACAAAGAGAUUUUCAUAUUAUUUUCUUAAAAUAAUAAAUAUUUAUUUAUUUUA